rnacentral:rRNA from 1 species
UACGUAGGGAGCAAGCGUUGUCCGGAAUUACUGGGUGUAAAGGGAGCGUAGGCGGGGAUGCAAGUUGGGUGUCAAAACUACCGGCUCAACCGAUAGUCGCACUCAAAACUGCAGCUCUUGAGUGAAGUAGAGGCAGGCGGAAUUCCUAGUGUAGCGGUGAAAUGCAUAGAUAUCACGCAGAACUCCGAUUGCGAAGGCAGCAUACCGGCGCCCAACUGACGCUGAAGCACGAAAGCGUGGGUAUCGAACAGG